rnacentral:rRNA from 1 species
UGGGGAAUUUUGCGCAAUGGGCGAAAGCCUGACGCAGCAACGCCGCGUGGGUGAUGAAGGUCUUCGGAUCGUAAAACCCUGUCGUCAGGGACGAAGGUCGGGGGGUGAACAGCCCUUUGGCUUGACGGUACCUGGAGAGGAAGCCCCGGCUAACUCUGUGCCAGCAGCCGCGGUAAUACAGAGGGGGCAAGCGUUAUUCGGAAUUAUUGGGCGUAAAGGGCGCGUAGGCGGUGUCUUAAGUGGGAUGUGCAAUCCCCGGGCUUAACCUGGGAACUGCAUCCCAGACUGGGACGCUGGAGUACUGGAGAGGGUGGUGGAAUUCCACGUGUAGCGGUGAAAUGCGUAGAGAUGUGGAGGAACACCAGUGGCGAAGGCGGCCACCUGGACAGUAACUGACGCUGAGGCGCGAAAGUGUGGGUAGCAAACA